rnacentral:rRNA from 1 species
CCUACGGGAGGCAGCAGUGAGGAAUAUUGGUCAAUGGACGGGAGCCUGAACCAGCCAUGCCGCGUGCGGGAAGACGGUACUGUGUAUUGUAAACUUCUUUUGUCAGGGAACAAAGGCGGGUACUCGUCUCUGGCUGAGGGUACCUGAAGAAUAAGCAUCGGCUAACUCCGUGCCAGCAGCCGCGGUAAUACGGAGGAUGCCAGCGUUAUCCGGAUUUAUUGGGUUUAAAGGGUGCGUAGGCGGUCUGUUAAGUCAGUGGUGAAAGCCCGGGGCUUAACCCCGGAACUGCCUUUGAGACUGUGCGUCGAGAGAGGAGUAGAGGUAUGCGGAAUGCGUGGUGUAGCGGUGAAAUGCAUAGAGAUCGCACAGAACUCCGAUUGCGAAGGCAGCAUGCCAGGUCCACACUGACGCUGAGGCACGAAAGCGUGGGGAGCAAACAGGAUUAGAUACCCUAGUAGUC